ensembl:lncRNA
CGAAAGACCUGGACUGGAAACCCGAGAGCAACCUGUUCCUACAGGUGAAUUGACUUGCAUCUUAUGCAUUAAUAAAUCUUAUUGCGAAUGUUCUGUUUCAGUAACUUGAGUGCUAUAUGUAUCAUCAGACUGAUGAAUCUGCCGUGCAUCAGCUGGACGGGGAAUACCGAGCUCUAAUCCUUCUCUUAAAUUCCAAACUGGACUCCCGUACAAUUCCCAGCAUUCCUCCGCUGGACAGCCAGUACUUUGAAGAUGAGCUACCGCUGAGUUCCAUCCCAAAAUCCGUCACAACGUUGCUGGAACCUUUUACCAUGUUGUCUGGGGAUGGGAGGAUCCCUGCAUCUUCACCUUCAUCAUCCAUCCCUGAAGAACGUUCUGGUCCAUCAGCGGAGACAACAGCAUCUACACUGCUUCCAGGCAGUUUGUCUCGGCGCUCCAGUGUCUCUCCCAUGUCACAAUCAGAUGAAAGAGCCUACAGAAGUAGAAGAAGGAGAAGAGACCUGAACAAGAGACAAAUGCUAGGACUUAAUGACAAAGCAUGCCCCGGAGUAGCGGAAACUGUGAAACACGUGGAAGCGACCAGGCAGACGUAUAGCUGGG